UAUCAGAAAACCAUCAAAAUGGAGUUACAGAGUUUUCUAUUGAGUUUAAUUGUAAUUUGUAUUCAAGAAUCCUAUGAACAGAUUUUGAUGAUCCAAACUCCAAAAUCUGUUACGGUGUCUCCAGGAGAAAAUGCUGUUAUAACUUGUAAUGCUCAGACCUACAGUGGUAGCUAUGUGAACUGGUACCAACAGAAAACAGGGCAACCUCCAAAGCUUCUUAUCUAUAAUACAAACAAUAAAUACACAGGGACCCCAGACAGGUUCAGUGGCAGUGGGUCUGGUACUGAUUACACUCUCACAAUCAACAGAGUGCAAGCAGAAGAUGCAGCAGAUUAUUACUGUCAGCAGGGUUAUGACUUCCCUCUCACAGUGAUACAGAGCUGUACAAAAACCUUCCUCUUUUGA